CAGCCGCCGCGGGAAUACGGAGGGGGCAAGCGUUAUCCGGAAUUAUUGGGCGUAAAGGGUACGUAGGUGGCCUUUUAAGCGUAGGGUAUAAGGCAAUGGCUCAACCAUUGUUCGCUCUAUGAACUGGAAGGCUUGAGUGCAGGAGAGGAAAGCGGAAUUCCUAGUGUAGCGGUGGAAUGCAUAGAUAUUAGGAGGAACAUCAGCGGCGAAGGCGGCUUUCUGGACUGCAACUGACACUGAGGUACGAAAGCGUGGGGAGCAAACAGGAUUAGAUACCCCUGUAGUCCCUGUCUCUUAUACC
rnacentral:rRNA from 1 species